AGAGUUUUUUUUUUUUUUUUCUUUUCUAUCUAUGGAAGUCGUUUCCCACUCUUCCACUACAAUACUACACCGUUUUGGUUACAAGGAUUCGAGGCUUUCCACUGCUUCAUCUUUUUUGCCGCAAUCGUGCACUUACAGAGGACUUAAUCCCCAUUGCUUUCCACAUAAACGGGCAGUUUUGAGAAAUUCAACCAUCUCUGCUCAAAGUAGGUAUUCAUGUGUUCCAAGGAAGGAUGGCGGCGUACCGUGGAACUAUUCUAAGCCAAAAGAAGAGUUGAAUAGAACUUAUUCUAAUAAUAAAGUCUGCAAUAAAAAUAGAUUAUCCAGAUACAUAGUUGUAAGAUCUGAACUUGCUGAAACAGGGUACCCUGAUGCCAGCUACCCAUUAUCAGAACAUAAGUUGAGCUCAAAAGUUAGAGGAAUAUGUUUUUAUGUUGUCACUGCUUUCACUGCCAUCUUUCUGUUUCUGCUGAUGCUGGUGGUACAUCCAUUUGUACUCUUGUUUGAUCGAUACCAAAGAAAAGCUCAGCAUUUCAUUGCCAAAAUUUGGGCAACUUUAACUGUCACUCCAUUUAUAAAAAUUAAGUAUGAGGGAUUGGAGAAUCUGCCUCCUUCUGAUAUUCCUGCUGUAUAUGUUUCCAACCACCAGAGCUUUUUAGACAUCUAUACUCUUCUCACUCUUGGAAGGAGCUUUAAGUUCAUCAGCAAGACUUCAAUAUUCCUUUAUCCCAUUAUUGGGUGGGCCAUGUUUUUGUUGGGUGUCAUCCCUUUGAAGCGCAUGGACAGCAGAAGCCAGUUGGACUGCCUUAAGCGAUGCAUGGAUCUUACAAAGAAGGGGGCCUCUGUAUUUUUCUUCCCUGAGGGAACACGGAGUAAAGAUGGAAAAUUGGGUGCUUUCAAGAAAGGUGCAUUCAGUGUUGCAGCAAAAACCAAAGUGCCAGUAGUACCUAUUACCCUUAAGGGAACUGGCAAAAUCAUGCCUGCAGGAAUGGAGGGCAUCUUAAAUUUAGGUUCUGUGGAAGUUGUUAUUCAUAAGCCUAUAGAAGGAAGUGAUCCAGAAGAACUAUGCAAUAAGGCUAGAAAAACAAUUGCAGAUGAGCUCAAUCACCAAUGACAAGAUAUCUGCUACAAGUUCUGUUUGAUGUACACAGCAUGAUACUUAAUCCUUUAAUGUGGAUUGAAGAAAUUUAAAGUGGAAGGAAUUUUGAGGUGGUUUUCAGAGCUAUCAGAUACAUUUCUUGAAGGUUGGGUGGUCUUUCUGCAGUGCCAAUGGCUACAGUCUGCAAUCGCCUAUGUAAUGACUUUCAUUACAUGGUCAGUCACAUCCACGCACUAAAUUGGUAGACAGACCAUAUAUCACUAACAAAUUUGUCGUGGUGCCUGAACUGUACUAGGCAUUGUUUUUCAUGUAGUGAAUGAUUAUCUCAAUAGAAUUACAGAUGCCUGUACAUUUUGCCCUUCUGGCCCA